CCUACGGGAGGCAGCAGUGGGGAAUAUUGCUCAAUGGGGGAGACCCUGAAGCAGCAACGCCGCGUGAAGGAUGAAGGUUUUCGGAUUGUAAACUUCUUUUGUUAGAGAAGAUAAUGACGGUAUCUAACGAAUAAGCACCGGCUAACUCCGUUCCAGCAGCCGCGGUAAUACGGAGGGUGCAAGCGUUACUCGGAAUAACGGGGCGUAAAGAGCGCGUAGGCGGGAUAGCAAGUCAGUUGUGAAAUCCUAGGGCUGAACCAUAGAACUGCAUUUGAAACUGUUAUUCUAGAGUAUGGGAGAGGUAGGGGGAAUUCUUGGUGUAGGGGUAAAAUCCGUAGAGAUCAAGAGGAAUACUCAUGGCGAAGGCGACCUGCUAGAACAUAACUGACGCUGAUGCGCGAAAGCGUGGGGAGCAAACAGGAUUAGAUACCCUUGUAGUC
rnacentral:rRNA from 1 species